rnacentral:rRNA from 1 species
CGUAGGAUCCGAGCGUUGUCCGGAUUUUACUGGGUGUAAAGGGUGCGCAGGCGGACUGGUAAGUCAGAGGUGAAAUCUCGUCGCUCAACGACGAAACUGCCUUUGAUACUAUCAGUCUUGAAUCCGGUAGAGAUCUGUGGAAUUCCGAGUGUAGCAGUGAAAUGUGUAGAUAUUCGGAAGAACACCAGUGGCGAAGGCAGCAGAUUGGGCCGGUAUUGACGCUCAGGCACGAAAGCAUGGGGAUCAAACAGGAUUAGAGACCCUGGUAGUCCAUGCCCUAAACGAUGUUCACUUGAUGUCUGCCCUCAGGGUAGGUGUCGAAGCUAACGCGAUAAGUGAACCACCUGGGGAGUACGCUCGCAAGGGUG